rnacentral:rRNA from 1 species
UCGAGCGGUAGCACNGGGGAGCUUGCUCCCUGGGUGACGAGCGGCGGACGGGUGAGUAAUGUCUGGGAAACUGCCUGAUGGAGGGGGAUAACUACUGGAAACGGUAGCUAAUACCGCAUAACGUCGCAAGACCAAAGAGGGGGACCUUCGGGCCUCUUGCCAUCAGAUGUGCCCAGAUGGGAUUAGCUAGUAGGUGGGGUAAUGGCUCACCUAGGCGACGAUCCCUAGCUGGUCUGAGAGGAUGACCAGCCACACUGGAACUGAGACACGGUCCAGACUCCUACGGGAGGCA